rnacentral:lncRNA from 1 species
GUAUAUAUUGAAAAGGGCCUGCUGAAGAGGCAGCGCCUGGAUGCUAACAACUCAGGCUUUCAGUUCGCGGGGGGCCUCCUUAAAGCUCCUUUUUCAAAAGAAGAGGUUGAAGGGAGGUCCUUCUUUGAGCGGCUGUCAAAUGCCUUCCACAGAAGGAUCCGUUGGAUUCCAAGAAAGUCAACGCCAUACUAGACUACACAACACAACAUUUCAGCGUAAUUCCAGGGCAGCUGGAGAACUCGUCAUCAUUACUGGCCCGGGGAUAUUAAAUGGAUGUGUUCAAGCA